GCCAGUGUAGUGUAAUGGUUUUAGUGUUGGACUAAGACUUCAGAGGUCAGAGUUUGAAUCUCUGCUUGGCCA